GAUGAACGCUGGCGGCGUGCUUAACACAUGCAAGUCGAACGGUGAAAGAGAGCUUGCUCUCUGGAUCAGUGGCGAACGGGUGAGUAACACGUGAGCAAUCUGCCCCUGACUCUGGGAUAACAGCUGGAAACAGCUGCUAAUACCGGAUACGAGUUGCGAAGGCAUCUUCAGCAGCUGGAAAGAAUUUCGGUCAGGGAUGAGCUCGCGGCCUAUCAGCUUGUUGGUGAGGUAAUGGCUCACCAAGGCGUCGACGGGUAGCCGGCCUGAGAGGGUGACCGGCCACACUGGGACUGAGACACGGCCCAGACUCCUACGGGAGGCAGCAGUGGGGAAUAUUGCACAAUGGGCGAAAGCCUGAUGCAGCAACGCCGCGUGAGGGACGACGGCCUUCGGGUUGUAAACCUCUUUUAGCAAGGAAGAAGCGAAAGUGACGGUACUUGCAGAAAAAGCGCCGGCUAACUACGUGCCAGCAGCCGCCGUAACAC
rnacentral:rRNA from 1 species